UACGAAGGAUCCUAGCGUUGUCCGGAUUUACUGGGUUUAAAGGGUGCGUAGGCGGACUUUUAAGUCAGUGGUGAAAGCCUGCAGCUUAACUGUAGAAUUGCCAUUGAAACUGAUUGUCUCGAGUGCGGUUGAGGUCACUGGAAUAUAUCAUGUAGCGGUGAAAUUCGUAGAUAUUCGGAAGAACACCAGUGGCGAAGGCGGCUCACUGGACCGGCAUUGACGCUGAUGUGCGAAAGCGUGGGGAGCAAACAGGG
rnacentral:rRNA from 1 species